rnacentral:rRNA from 1 species
CAGCCGCCGCGGGAAUACGGAGGGAGCUAGCGUUGUUCGGAAUUACUGGGCGUAAAGCGCGCGUAGGCGGUUACUCAAGUCAGAGGUGAAAGCCCGGGGCUCAACCCCGGAACUGCCUUUGAAACUAGGUGACUAGAAUCUUGGAGAGGUCAGUGGAAUUCCGAGUGUAGAGGUGAAAUUCGUAGAUAUUCGGAAGAACACCAGUGGCGAAGGCGACUGACUGGACAAGUAUUGACGCUGAGGUGCGAAAGCGUGGGGAGCAAACAGGAUUAGAUACCCGUGUAGUCCCUGUCUCUUAUAC